GGGUGGUAAUGCCGGAUGCUCCAGUUGACCGCAUGGUCCUCUGGGAAAGCUUUUGCGGUAUGGGAUGGGGUCGCGUCCUAUCAGCUUGAUGGCGGGGUAACGGCCCACCAUGGCUUCGACGGGUAGCCGGCCUGAGAGGGCGACCGGCCACAUUGGGACUGAGAUACGGCCCAGACUCCUACGGGAGGCAGCAGUGGGGAAUAUUGCACAAUGGGCGCAAGCCUGAUGCAGCGACGCCGCGUGCGGGAUGACGGCCUUCGGGUUGUAAACCGCUUUUGACUGGGAGCAAGCCCUUCGGGGUGAGUGUACCUUUCGAAUAAGCACCGGCUAACUACGUGCCAGCAGCCGCGGUAAUACGUAGGGUGCAAGCGUUAUCCGGAAUUAUUGGGCGUAAAGGGCUCGUAGGCGGUUCGUCGCGUCCGGUGUGAAAGUCCAUCGCUUAACGGUGGAUCCGCGCCGGGUACGGGCGGGCUUGAGUGCGGUAGGGGAGACUGGAAUUCCCGGUGUAACGGUGGAAUGUGUAGAUAUC
rnacentral:rRNA from 1 species